GACGAACGCUGGCGGCGUGCCUAAUACAUGCAAGUAGAACGCUGAAGAGAGGAGCUUGCUCUUCUUGGAUGAGUUGCGAACGGGUGAGUAACGCGUAGGUAACCUGCCUUGUAGCGGGGGAUAACUAUUGGAAACGAUAGCUAAUACCGCAUAACAAUGGAUGACACAUGCCAUUUAUUUGAAAGGGGCAAUUGCUCCACUACAAGAUGGACCUACGUUGUAUUAGCUAGUAGGUGAGGUAAUGGCUCACCUAGGCGACGAUACAUAGCCGACCUGAGAGGGUGAUCGGCCACACUGGGACUGAGACACGGCCCAGACUCCUACGGGAGGCAGCAGUAGGGAAUCUUCGGCAAUGGGGGCAACCCUGACCGAGCAACGCCGCGUGAGUGAAGAAGGUUUUCGGAUCGUAAAGCUCUGUUGUAAGUCAAGAACGGGUGUGAGAGUGGAAAGUUCACACUGUGACGGUAGCUUACCAGAAAGGGACGGCUAACUACGUG
rnacentral:rRNA from 1 species